UACGUAGGUGGCAAGCGUUGUCCGGAUUUACUGGGCGUAAAGAGCGCGCAGGCGGUCGUUCAAGUCGCGUGUGAAAGCCCCCGGCUCAACUGGGGAGGGUCACGCGAUACUGAUCGACUCGAAGGCAGGAGAGGGUAGUGGAAUUCCCGGUGUAGUGGUGAAAUGCGUAGAUAUCGGGAGGAACACCAGUGGCGAAGGCGACUACCUGGCCUGUUCUUGACGCUGAGGCGCGAAAGCUAGGUGAGCAAACGGG
rnacentral:rRNA from 1 species